GAUGAACGCUGGCGGCGUGCCUAAUACAUGCAAGUCGAGCGAACGGACGAGAAGCUUGCUUCUCUGAUGUUAGCGGCGGACGGGUGAGUAACACGCGGAUAACCUACCUAUAAGACUGGGAUAACUUCGGGAAACCGGAGCUAGUACCGGAUAAUAUUUUGAACCGCAUGGUUCAAAAGUGAAAGACGGUCUUGCUGUCACUUAUAGAUGGAUCCGCGCUGCAUUAGCUAGUUGGUAAGGUAACGGCUUACCAAGGCAACGAUGCAUAGCCGACCUGAGAGGGUGAUCGGCCACACUGGAACUGAGACACGGUCCAGACUCCUACGGGAGGCAGCAGUAGGGAAUCUUCCGCAAUGGGCGAAAGCCUGACGGAGCAACGCCGCGUGAGUGAUGAAGGUCUUCGGAUCGUAAAACUCUGUUAUUAGGGAAGAACAUAUGUGUAAGUAACUGUGCACAUCUUGACGGUACCUAAUCAGAAAGCCACGGCUAACUACGUG
rnacentral:rRNA from 1 species